UGCCACAAUGAUGACAUUUUAUUUGCUACUCUUGACUGUGAGGAUGAUGAGAAUUACUACCACCUUUAUCCUAAAUGAGGCA
ensembl:snoRNA SNORD24 Small nucleolar RNA SNORD24